rnacentral:rRNA from 1 species
UACAGAGGGGGCAAGCGUUGUUCGGAAUUACUGGGCGUAAAGGGCGCGUAGGUGGCGCUGUAAGUCGGGUGUGAAAUUUCGGAGCUUAACUCCGAAACUGCAUUCGAUACUGCGGUGCUUGAGGACUGGAGAGGAGACUGGAAUUCAUGGUGUAGCAGUGAAAUGCGUAGAGAUCAUGAGGAAGACCAGUGGCGAAGGCGGGUCUCUGGACAGUUCCUGACACUGAGGCACGAAGGCCAGGGGAGCAAACGGG